AUAAUACUCCCUCCAUCCAGAAUUACUUGUUAUCAAAAUGGAUGUGUCUAGAACUAAAAUACAUCUAGAUACAUCCAUUUCAAUGAAAAGUAUUUUCGGACGGAGGGAGUAGUAG
rnacentral:pre_miRNA from 1 species